CACGUAGGAGGCGAGCGUUGUCCGGAAUCAUUGGGCGUAAAGAGCGCGCAGGCGGCUUGGCAAGUCGGGUGUGAAAUCCCGGGGCUCAACCCCGGGACUGCAUUCGAUACUGUCAGGCUAGAGGUAGGUAGGGGAGAUCGGAAUUCCUGGUGUAGCGGUGAAAUGCGCAGAUAUCAGGAGGAACACCCAUGGCGAAGGCAGCUCGCUGGGACGGUACUGACGCUGAGGCGCGAAAGCGUGGGGAGCAAACAGG
rnacentral:rRNA from 1 species